GUUAUUCCUGAUAAAUCAGUUCACUUGAAAAACUUCCCAUCAACUCCUCUGACCAAUUGCUGGCAUCUUGACCCCCUCAAGGCAUUCUGGUGCCGGUUAAAGAACCUUGUUCCUUUCGCUCUGUUACCCCUUACACUGGGCAGAUGGAUGGAUCUAGAAGGGGUACAGAGGAGCUUUAGCAAAACCAAAAGUCAGACAGUUUGGCAGAAGAGGAAGAGAAACGUUUGAAGAUGAAAGGACCAAGACGACAACAACAAACUCUAAACUUCAGGGGGGAGGGAAAGCACCGUGCGCAGGUCUUCCUGAUGAGAAAAACCUCUCCCGCUCACAGAGGCUUCUUUGUUUCUCCAUGAGUCACCGUCAAAAAGCCACGGCUGUAAACAGUCGGGAUCAGUUCAUUAGGCCCCCGAGGUGCUCCGGCCGAGUACCCAGAAAGAUACGGCAAGCCUGAGUCAUCAAUAAACAGAGACGACAGA